rnacentral:rRNA from 1 species
GACGAACGCUGGCGGCGUGCUUAACACAUGCAAGUCGAACGGAAAGGCCCUGCUUUUGUGGGGUGCUCGAGUGGCGAACGGGUGAGUAACACGUGAGUAACCUGCCCUUGACUUUGGGAUAACUUCAGGAAACUGGGGCUAAUACCGGAUAGGAGCUCCUGCUGCAUGGUGGGGGUUGGAAAGUUUCGGCGGUUGGGGAUGGACUCGCGGCUUAUCAGCUUGUUGGUGGGGUAGUGGCUUACCAAGGCUUUGACGGGUAGCCGGCCUGAGAGGGUGACCGGCAAAAUUGGGACUGAGAUAAGGCCCAGACUGCAACGGGAGGCAGCAGUGGGGAAUAUUGCACAAUGGGCGGAAGCCUGAUGCAGAAACGCAGCGUGCGGGAUGACGGCCUUCGGGUUGUAAACCGCUUUCGCAUGUGACGAAGCGUGAGUGACGGUAAUGGGUAAAGAAGCACCGGCUAACUACGUG